AGGAUGAAUGUUAUCCCUCGGUCCAACCCACUUUCAGCCUGGCACAUUAGGGGGCGCUGGUAUAAAUAGUGGCCAUUUGAGUGUCCCUGGGUCGCUUGCCUGUGAUCUCCUUUUUGGUCACCUGACUUCCCUUUGGUGUGGUAGAGAUCAUUUGCGGGUUACUCUUCUGAAGUCUCCAUCGCGGCUGGUCGUAGCUAUAGAAGCCUCCUCUGAGCUAUUCUGCUUACGUUCUAUGACACGGCUUACUUGGAAGUGUGGGCCUUAGUUUUGCGCCAAGCUACGUGAACUGAAGUGCUGCUGUUUUGCCUUGCUGUGCUUUUAUCGUCUGUUCCCGUUGUGAGAUUUCUUUCCCUGCUGCUGUCAGCUUUUACAGUGGACGUCGGCGUGGACAACGGCCAUAUGCAUGCCGGUUAUCGGAGUCAGCUGGCGUGCAUAUUGAUUGACUGUUAACUUGUCGUCGUGUGACGGCAAGUUGGAGCAGUACGGCGAUUCCGUUUGCUCCAGAUUUUAGAGUUUUAUCCAGAUUGUAUGUUGUUUUAUUGCUUUUGAUUUGUAGUUUGGAUUUUUGUUACACCACUGGUGGGAGGCCCUUUUUCUAGCUGUAGAUCACCAGUGUGGUCUUGCAGUUGGGUUAUCCCCCGGUGCUACACAUUAGUUUGUUGUAAUAUAUUAAAAUUUUCUUUGUUUCUUUUAUUCAGAUGCGGAGUGCCGACGUGGAGGAGACUAGGGUGCCUUGGUGGUGGGAUCCCUUGAGUGUACACACCUGCCUUGUUUAGUUUAUUA